UAAACCGGAGGAAGGUGGGGAGUGACGUCAAGUCAGCAUGGCCUUUAUAUCCUGGGCUACACACACGCUACAAUGGGAAGGGACAAUAGGUUGCGAAGCCGCGAGGCGGAGCCAAUCCAGCAAAACUUCCCUCAGUUCAGAUUGCAGGCUGCAACCCGCCUGCAUGAAGUUGGAGUUGCUAGUAAACGCAGGUCAGCCAUACUGCGUUGAAUACGUUCCCGGGGCUU
rnacentral:rRNA from 1 species